UAGGGAAUAUUGGACAAUGGGCGCAAGCCUGAUCCAGCCAUGCCGCGUGCAGGAAGAAGGCCUUCGGGUUGUAAACUGCUUUUGUACGGAACGAAAAGGCUCUUUCUAAUAAAGAGGGCCCAUGACGGUACCGUAAGAAUAAGCACCGGCUAACUACGUGCCAGCAGCCGCGGUAAUACGUAGGGUGCGAGCGUUAUCCGGAAUCAUUGGGUUUAAAGGGUCCGUAGGCGGUUAGAUAAGUCAGUGGUGAAAGCCCAUCGCUCAACGGUGGAACGGCCAUUGAUACUGUCUGACUUGAAUUAUUAGGAAGUAACUAGAAUAUGUAGUGUAGCGGUGAAAUGCGUAGAUAUCAAGAGGAACACCUGAGGUGAAGACGGGUUGCUGGGCUGACACUGACGCUGAGGCGCGAAAGCCAGGGGAGCAAACGGGAUUAGAUACCCAAGUAGUCCCUGAGCGGGCUGGCAAGGCGCAU
rnacentral:rRNA from 1 species